UACGGAGGGUGCAAGCGUUAUCCGGAUUCACUGGGUUUAAAGGGUGCGUAGGUGGGCAAGUAAGUCAGUGGUGAAAUCUCCGAGCUUAACUUGGAAACUGCCAUUGAUACUAUCGAUCUUGAAUACUGUGGAGGUCAGCGGAAUAUGUCAUGUAGCGGUGAAAUGCUUAGAUAUGACAUAGAACACCAAUUGCGAAGGCAGCUGGCUACACAAAUAUUGACACUGAGGCACGAAAGCGUGGGGAUCAAACAGG
rnacentral:rRNA from 1 species